rnacentral:tRNA from 4 species
CGAGACUUAAGUUAGCAUUCAAACUGAGGGCCUUCAAAGCCCCUAACGAGAGUGAAAAUCUCUCAGUCUCUG